rnacentral:rRNA from 1 species
ACACUGGGACUGAGACACGGCCCAGACUCCUACGGGAGGCAGCAGUGAGGAAUCUUCCACAAUGGGCGAAAGCCUGAUGGAGCAACGCCGCGUGCAGGAUGAAGGCCUUCGGGUUGUAAACUGCUUUUAUAAGUGAGGAAUAUGACGGUAACUUAUGAAUAAGGAUCGGCUAACUACGUGCCAGCAGCCGCGGUCAUACGUAGGAUCCGAGCGUUAUCCGGAGUGACUGGGCGUAAAGAGUUGCGUAGGCGGUUUGUUAAGCGAAUAGUGAAACCUGGUGGCUCAACCAUACAGACUAUUAUUCGAACUGGCAAACUCGAGAGUGGUAGAGGUCACUGGAAUUUCUUGUGUAGGAGUGAAAUCCGUAGAUAUAAGAAGGAACACCAAUGGCGUAGGCAGGUGACUAGACCAUUUCUGACGCUAAGGCACGAAAGCGUGGGGAGCGAACCGGAUUAGAUACCCGGGUAGUCCACGCCGUAAACGAUGGAUACUAGCUGUUGGAGGUAUCGACCCCUUCAGUAGCGAAGCUAACGCGUUAAGUAUCCCGCCUGUGGAGUACGGCCGCAAGGCUAAAACAUAAAGGAAUUGACGGGGACCCGCACAAGCGGUGGAUCGUGUUCUUUAAUUCGAUGAUAAACGAAGAACCUUACCAGGGCUUGACAUCCAGGGAAGGUCUGCGAAAGUGGACUGUGCCUUUUGGAACCCUGUGACAGGUGCUGCAUGGCCGUCGUCAGCUCGUGUCGUGAGAUGUUUGGUUAAGUCCAUCAACGAGCGCAACCCUUGCAACUAGUUGGAUUUUUCUAGUUGGACUGCCCCGGUAACGGGGAGGAAGGAGGGGAUGAUGUCAGGUCAGUAUUGCCCUUACGUCCUGGGCUAGAAACACGAUACAAUGGCUAGUACAAUGCGCAGCGAAGCCGCAAGGUGGAGCAAAUCGCAUCAAAGCUAGUCUCAGUUCGGAUUGGAGGCUGAAACUCGCCUCCAUGAAGUCGGAAUCGCUAGUAAUCGCAGAUCAGCAAGCUGCGGUGAAUACGUUCCCGGGUCUUGUACACACCGCCCGUCAAACCAUGAAAGUGACCAACACCCGAAGUCCGAUUCGUCGGCCUAAGGUGGGGGGCAUGAUUGGGGUUAAGUCGUAACAAGGUAUCCGUACCGGAAGGUGCGGAUG